AUACGUAGGGUGCGAGCGUUAAUCGGAAUUACUGGGCGUAAAGCGUGCGCAGGCGGUUAUAUAAAAAAGAUGUGAAAUCCCCGGGCUCAACCUGGGACCUGCAUUUGUGACUGUAAAGCUAGAGUACGGUAGAGGGGGAUGGAAUUCCCCGGGUAGCAGUGAAAUGCGUAGAUAUGCGGAGGAACACCGAUGGCGAAGGCAAUCCCCUGGACCUGUACUGACGCUCAUGCACGAAAGCGUGGGGAGCAAACAGGAUUAGAUACCCUGGUAGUCCACGCCCUAAACGAUGUCAACUGGUUGUUGGGUCUUCACUGACUCAGUAACGAAGCUAACGCGUGAAGUUGACCGCCUGGGGAGUACGGCCGCAAGGUUGAAACUCAAAUGAAUUGACGGGG
rnacentral:rRNA from 1 species